ACAACAACUUAUUGUGAAGCUGGUUUCUGAACCUUUCCUGGCCAGUUCAUCCGCUGCAUCGUUUCCUCUUGAUCCACUAUGCCCCUUUAUCCAUUAUACUGUUACUUUGUUGCCUUCUUUGCUCACUUCAGUGAGGCCUCGAUGUCAUUCAAGUAUGAGUUCCGAUGUAAGUUUGUAGCUACCUAGUGCUUGCAGUACUGAUUUACUGUCUGACAGUAUUAGUAUAUUUUCUUGUUUUACUUCUCGUCUUUUUAUCGCUUUGCAAGCUUCCAUUAUUCCUACACAUUCAGCUUGGAAUCCCGUAUUGUGUUCCCAGUGUAACCCAGGGGUUUUGAGAUGUAUAUGUUCAGGUCCUCCGAGAAGACACCACAUCCGGUCCCUUCAUUUGUUUUUGAGCCAUCUGUGGAUAUUCUUAAAUUUGUUUGGUAUAGUCCUUGUACAAAAAGAAACAUAAAACAUGAAAGAACACACAUCAUUAGUACAAAGGCGAACUUAUCAUGUAAUUCAUGUAUGCGGCACCGCGAUAUAAUACAUUCGGUAAAGACACACUGAAAGAAAACGAACUUAAAGAUGUUCUUCUGUUCUGCAGGAAAACAAGAAGAUUCGAGGAGAAUGGUGUGGCACUUAAUGCCGCCGGGACAGUAACCUAGCUGCAGCUCCAACUCUAGGGAAUUGGGCUGAAUGAACGCAACACGUGAUCGACAGCCCACCUGCUUCCUGCCGAGCGUCCCUACACUACAUCUACAUGGAUUCGCUUAUUCUGCUCUACAAAACUUCUAAAACAAUACAAAUAAUACAGGAAGAAGAGAUUAAACAACAGGCGGUCUUAUCGCUAAAAAGCGAUCUCUUCCAGACAACCUUACUACUUUUGAGGUUAGAACAACCCACGAAAACAUUUAAUGUAAAGUGUUGCCAAGACUAGUUGCAUAAAGCUUUUACACUAAAAAAGUUAUGAGAUCCCGUAGUAGGUACCAAGACUUUUACUCUGUCAUUCCUAACUUUAUAAGCUCUAACAGUAUAAAGCCAACAUCUUGGUCAAACAGUACGGCUUGGCCGUUUCGUUGGUGUCAUACUCAUAUGGACAAUCCCGUAAUGACACUUUCAGAAUUUGAAAGACCUUUGUUGCUACUUUGUACAACAAGUCCACUGAGGGAGUGUUUGUAAAAACGACAUAUCAGUUUAUAUAAACUACGAUAAUACAAGGUCAUAUAAGCAGGCAUAAUUUUAAAACAUUUAACAUUUAGGUUUUCAGAAAAGUUACGUACCUAUUUCUAGCGACAUCUAUGUAUGUAGGGCCUAUAUAAAAUAAGCCAGGAAAGUUAUGAAAGUGAAUUAAAGUUCAUGUUGCACUGAUAAAAUCAUUUUAAACAAAUAUUCUAAAUAUAAUUAUUCUCAAAUUUCAGGAGCUGAUACAAGCAGCCAGAAUGAGUCUCUGCUGAGUCGCCGGCGCCGGACGUGCGUCGCGCGCCUCGGGCGACUGACGUCUUCGUGUGAGUCGCCAAUUGCAGGGGAAGAUACGAAUAGUUAGGUAUAAAAGCUACUUUAGUCAACCUCGCCUCAGUACUGUUUGUAUUGACUGAAAUACAAGUAGCAUAUAUGAGACGUUCGGACGUAUCCGUGAAAAUACGAAGGUAAAGGAAAUUGCACUACAUUUUUAGAACCUAUUCACCUGUCAGUAAGAUAUUGAAAAGGAAAGUUCAUGAGUUUUAUUAUUUUCUUUCCUCCAACAGCUUCACAUGGAGCAAAUGUAAACCUUUUAUGUUAAUAAUAUCAGUAAUGUCAAGGUACAACGCUCUUUAGAGCAUAUUGCCAUUCCUUUUACUCGAGUGGCCUGUGGGUUAACUAUACGAAGCGAGCCUACGAUGCAUUAAAAGUGCAGUAUAACAAUGCAUUCAGAAUGCUGUUGGGCUUACCUCGUAGAUGUAGUGCAUCUGGCAUGUUUUGCGAAGCUAGAAGUUUUCUGGCAAUCAUGCGCAAGAAAAUAGUAUCUCUGCUAGGUCGAGUUAGAAGCAGUCCCAAACAUACAUGUUCGAAAAGUAGAACUCCCUUAGUAGGCCAAGCAAUAAGAAGUUAUAGAGGGAAAUGCUAGGAACACAAUUUUUGACUACGUAACUUUGUUUGGACUAGUUAGGAGGUGAACAUAUCAAAAGUCCCCGGCUGUAGCCCCGGUACUGGGGGGUAGACUAGUUAUAGUCCAAACAAAGUUACGGAGUCAAAAACUGUGUUCCUAGCAUUUCCCUCUACAACGUUUUUUGAGCAUUCAUUUCCUGACCUAUAGAUCGUGUUUCAAUUUAUCGCCUCUCGUUGGCAAUUAAGGUGGUUCGCUUUCCAUACAAAAAAAAAACAAUUACAUAAGUACCUAAUAGUGUGUAAUUACUUAAUAUAACGCAAUUGUUUUUUGUAUGGAAAGCGAACCACCUUAACUAUUCGCACAACGUUUUGUAGUUGCAGUAAGUACUUACAUAUGGCCGGUUAAAUUUUCGAAAUAGGUAUGUAUUUACGUACAGUGCUAAUUGCCGCACAUAGAAUAAUUAAAGUUUGAUCAAUCGGAAUAUGUUCCUAAGUCACUUAUUACAUUUCGAAUUAUAAGUCUGUAUUUUACAGCUUUAGAUGUGCAUGACUGCAUAUGCACAUCUAAAGCUGAAAAAUGCUUUCAUGAAAUUAUGGCUAAAUUAUGUUAAUAGGGACAAAUGUAUCAUUUUCAACCAAAUGGGUUCUUAUUAUCUGUUGUCAAUAAGGCGCUAUUUCCAUAAAGCUUCAAUUUGAAAUCAGCCUCGUCGACAACCGACAAUGUUAACCUUUUGGUUGAAAACGUCACAAAUUAUGGCGAUAGAGAAUACAAUGUUCUGUUGCCAGAGUGCAGCACUAGUAAAACCCGUAAACGAGUGAAUUGCAAAAAAGUGUAGGUAACACAAUGGAAUAUUCACAAAAAUAUGAAAGAAUGUAACACAAAAUGAAGAAAAUGUAUGUGUUUUUUUUGUGUUACGUCACACAAAGGACGCCAAAAUCGACGCCGCAAUAUUUUUCACGACGUGUAGAAUAAAAGUGGCGUCGAAUUCAGGAAUCCGCAAAUACUAUGGUAGCCGAUAGCCAAGUAAUUUAUCAAUAGAACAAUGUUAAAACAGUAGUAGAAACGGUGAGCUUUGCAAACUUUUAGUAGAUUGGUUUGGUUUUGGUAGAUUUCUCGGUUUGGCAUGCUUGAUGCUCUUCACAUCACCACAGACGGAGGUCGACAGUUCGAAUCUGUCUUGUUCAACCAAUUGAUGGAGGCACAUGCACGCAUACGAAGUAUACGAACCACAUAUUACACUACCAUCCUGGAGCUAAUUGGAUUAUUUGCAUCUACUAUUAUAGUAUAUACCUAUGCCUUAUUUUUACGCCUAAGACCUUAAGCUUUUAACAAAAACCAUUAUUUCUUUUAUACCUACGGGCGGUUUAGCUCCCGUACCUACCUCUAUUAUACCUAGCCACGUGCUAAAGCAACAAUGUCCUUUAAAUCCGUAUCCCGUAUCGUGAUAGUAUUAAGAUUCAACUCGUCUACAUCGAGGUACCCGCCCCCGCCCCGCAGUAACAGUUAUCUGUUUCACUCGGGGGCAAAGUUGUUGUUCAAUCGCUCGUGCUAAUAUUGAUACCCGAGCAAGCGAAAGAUUCCAAAAUUGAACCGAUAGCGUAGCGAGUGGUUAAAAAAAUGGAAUCUUGAGCGUUGCGAGGGUUUCGAAGCGCGAGGGUUAAACAAAAUUUGCUCCCGAGUGAAACACAAAAUGUUUCACCACACCGACCCGAAGCAAAUAUUAAAUGUAAAAUAUCAAACAAAAUCAAAUCCAAAUUAAUGUUACCUAUUAAAUAUUUAUCAUCCAAAAUCAUCAUAAAAGUCAGUUCUACCAGCAAACAUAAGAAAACAACUCAAAAUUUGCAUUUGAUUACUUUGCCUCACAUGUGAAUAAAAUGCAACUUUGCUAUCAGUUUUUGAAGUGCUAAGAAAGCCUUUCCGAGUAGGUGUGGUGAAAAAUAUAAUGUUCUAAUGCUGAAACGUAUCACUAUCACUGUUUAGUUAGAACAACAUGAACCUCAUAGAACCCUCUUUCAAGUGCUAUUGAAAGAGGCGGCUAUACAGGGCCUGGGGCCUAGGGCGGCGAAUAGUUAUUUACGAUACAAGUGCGGAAAAGAGGAAAUUCGAACGAGUGGCGAUAAAUUAAAACACGACCGAAGGGAGUGUUUUAAAUCCACACGAUUUGCAAAUUACCUAUUCGCACGUGUAUCGUACAACGUUUUACAGUACAUGGCCCUUUAAGCUUUUGACAUACGCACGAAAAGUGCUAUUUUACGCACUAGUGCGGGAAAAUAGGACCAUAAUUAUAUACUUUAAAUGAUAUUUUUAUUAUUAAUUUGUAUAAAUGAAUGUCAUUAGUCAUUGCCUACAUUAAAUGUACUUAAUCUAUGCUUCCAUAAAUAUAUUUACUAUCAUUAUCAAUAUAUUACAAGACGUUGCACAUA